UGAAUACGAGACGCUAAGGCGUCGAAGUAGUGUAUGUCAUACUUCCAAGAAAAGCUUGCACUGUCAUAGAUAAAAAACGCCUGUACCAUAACCGACACAGGUGGGUAGGUAGAGUAUACUAAGGGGCGCGAGAUAACUCUCUCUAAGGAACUCGGCAAAAUAACUCCGUAACUUCGGGAGAAGGAGUGCCUUAUUCUUAAGGUUGCAAUAACAAGAUCCAAGCAACUGUUUAUCAAAAACACAGGUCUCCGCUAAGUCGUAAGACGAUGUAUGGGGGCUGACGCCUGCCCAGUGCCAGAAGGUUAAAGAAGCUGGUUAGCAUUUGCGAAGCUAGUAACUGAAGCCCUGGUGAACGGCGGCCGUAACUAUAACGGUCCUAAGGUAGCGAAAUUCCUUGUCGGGUAAGUUCCGACCCGCACGAAAGGCGUAAUGAUUUGGAUACUGUCUCGGAGAGGGGCUCGGUGAAAUAGACUUGUCUGUGAAGAUGCGGACUACCUGCACCAGGACAGAAAGACCCUAUGAAGCUUUACUGUAACUUGAAAUUGAAAUUGGACUUUAUUCGCGCAGUAUAGGUGGGAGGCGUUGAUUAUAAUCUUGCGGGAUUAUUGGAGCCAUUAGUGAGAUACCACUCUUGUAAUGUUAGAUUUCUAACUUUGAAUCAUUAUCUGGUCAAAGAACAGUUUCAGGCGGGCAGUUUGACUGGGGCGGUCGCCUCCUAAACGGUAACGGAGGCGUACAAAGGUUUCCUCUGAACGGUUAGAAAUCGUAUCUAGAGUGUAAAGGCAUAAGGAAGCUUGACUGUGAGACCUACAAGUCGAGCAGGGACGAAAGUCGGUCUUAGUGAUCUGACGGUACUGAGUGGAAAGGCCGUCACUCAACGGAUAAAAGUUACUCUAAGGAUAACAGGCUGAUCUCCCCCAAGAGUUCACAUCGACGGGGAGGUUUGGCACCUCGAUGUCGGCUCAUCGCAUCCUGGGGCGGUAGUACGUCCCAAGGGUUGGGCUGUUCGCCCAUGAAAGCGGUACGCGAGCUGGGUUCAGAACGUCGUGAGACAGUUCGGUCCAUAUCCGGUGUAGGCGUUAGAAUAUUGAGAGGAGCCUUCUUUAGUACGAGAGGAGCGAGAAGGACAUACCUCUGGUGUACCAGUUAUCGUGCCAACGGUAAACGCUGGGUAGCUAUGUAUGGAGUGGAUAACCGCUGAAAGCAUCUAAGUGGGAAGCCCACCUCAAGAUAAGUAUUCUCA
rnacentral:rRNA from 1 species